rnacentral:rRNA from 1 species
GACGAACGCUUGCGGCGUGCUUAACACAUGCAAGUCGAACGGUAAGGCCUUCGGGUACACGAGUGGCGAACGGGUGAGUAACACGUGGGUGAUCUGCCCUGCACUUUGGGAUAAGCCUGGGAAACUGGGUCUAAUACCGAAUAGGACUACGGCCUGCAUGGGUGGUGGUGGAAAGCUUUUGCGGUGUGGGAUGGGCCCGCGGCCUAUCAGCUUGUUGGUGAGGUCACGGCUCACCAAGGCGACGACGGGUAGCCGGCCUGAGAGGGUGACCGGCCACACUGGGACUGAGAUACGGCCCAGACUCCUACGGGAGGCAGCAGUGGGGAAUAUUGCACAAUGGGCGCAAGCCUGAUGCAGCGACGCCGCGUGAGGGAUGACGGCCUUCGGGUUGUAAACCUCUUUCAGUAGGGACGAAGCGCAAGUGACGGUACCUAUAGAAGAAGGACCGGCCAACUACGUGCCAGCAGCCGCCGUAA